rnacentral:rRNA from 1 species
UCCAGGCCCUACGGGGCGCAGCAGGCGCGAAACCUCCGCAAUGCACGCAAGUGCGACGGGGGGACCCCAAGUGCCACUCUUAACGGGGUGGCUUUUCAGGAGUGUAAAAAGCUCCUGGAAUAAGGGCUGGGCAAGACCGGUGCCAGCCGCCGCGGUAACACCGGCAGCUCGAGUGGUAGCCGCGUUUAUUGGGCCUAAAGCGUCCGUAGCCGGUCCGAUAAGUCUCUGGUGAAAGCCCACAGCUCAACUGUGGGAAUCGCUGGAGAUACUAUCGGACUUGAGGCCGGGAGAGGCUGGAGGUACUCCCAGGGUAGGGGUGAAAUCCUAUAAUCCUGGGAGGACCACCUGUGGCGAAGGCGUCCAGCUGGAACGGACCUGACGGUGAGGGACGAAAGCCAGGGGCGCGAACCGGAUUAGAUACCCGGGUAGUCCUGGCCGUAAACGAUGCGGACUUGGUGUUGGGACGGCUUUGAGCUGUCCCAGUGCCGAAGGGAAGCUGUUAAGUCCGCCGCCUGGGAAGUACGGCCGCAAGGCUGAAACUUAAAGGAAUUGGCGGGGGAGCACCACAACGCGUGGAGCCUGCGGUUUAAUUGGAUUCAACGCCGGA